AACGAACGCUGGCGGCAUGCCUAACACAUGCAAGUCGAACGAGACCUUCGGGUCUAGUGGCGCACGGGUGCGUAACGCGUGGGAACCUGCCCUUAGGUUCGGAAUAACUCCCCGAAAGGGGUGCUAAUACCGGAUAAUGUCUUCGGUCCAAAGAUUUAUCGCCUUUGGAUGGGCCCGCGUUGGAUUAGCUAGUUGGUAGGGUAAAAGCCUACCAAGGCGACGAUCCAUAGCUGGUCUGAGAGGAUGAUCAGCCACACUGGGACUGAGACACGGCCCAGACUACUACGGGAGGCAGCAGUGGGGAAUAUUGGAAAAUGGGCGAAAGCCUGAUCCAGCAAUGCCGGGUGAGUGAUGAAGGCCGUAGGGUUGUAAAGCUCUUUUACCCGGGAUGAUAAUGACAGUACCGGGAGAAUAAGCUCCGGCUAACUCCGUG
rnacentral:rRNA from 1 species